rnacentral:rRNA from 1 species
ACGGGAGGCAGCAGUGGGGAAUAUUGGGCAAUGGGCGCAAGCCUGACCCAGCAAUGCCGCGUGAAUGAAGAAGGCUUUCGGGUUGUAAACUUCUUUUAAGUGGGACGAUAAUGACGGUACCACUUGAAUAAGCUCCGGCUAACUACGUGCCAGCAGCCGCGGUAAUACGUAGGGAGCAAGCGUUAUCCGGAUUUACUGGGUGUAAAGGGCGUGUAGGCGGGAAAUCAAGUCAGAUGUGAAAGGACGGGGCUCAACUUCGUGACUGCAUUUGAAACUGACGUUCUUGAGUGUUGGAGAGGCUAACGGAACUCCUAGUGUAGCGGUGAAAUGCGUAGAUAUUAGGAAGAACACCAGUGGCGAAGGCGGUUAGCUGGACAAUAACUGACGCUGAGGCGCGAAAGCGUGGGUAGCAAACAGGAUUAGAUACCCUGGUA